CCUACGGGAGGCAGCAGUGAGGAAUAUUGGUCAAUGGGCGCGAGCCUGAACCAGCCAAGCCGCGUGAGGGAAGACGGUCCUAUGGAUUGUAAACCUCUUUAGUCGGGGAGCAAAAGACGCCACGCGUGGAGUUACGAGAGUACACGAAGAAAAAGCAUCGGCUAACAAAGUGACAGCAGCCGCGGUAAUACGGAGGAGGCGAGCUUUAUCCGGGUUUAUUGGGUUAAAGGGGUGCGCAGGCGGAAGAUCAAGUCGGCGGUAAAAUUGAGAGGCUCAACCUCGUCGAGCCGUUGAAACUGGUUUUCUUGAGUGAGUGAGAAGUAUGCGGAAUGCGUGGUGUAGCGGUGAAAUGCAUAGAUAUCACGCAGAACUCCGAUUGCGAAGGCAGCAUACCGGCGCUCAACUGACGCUCAUGCACGAAAGUGUGGGUAUCGAACAGGAUUAGAUACCCCAGUAGUC
rnacentral:rRNA from 1 species